UAUGGAGAGUUUGAUCCUGGCUCAGGAUGAACGCUGGCGGCGUGCCUAAUACAUGCAAGUCGAGCGAACAGACAAGGAGCUUGCUCCUUUGACGUUAGCGGCGGACGGGUGAGUAACACGUGGGUAACCUACCUAUAAGACUGGGAUAACUUCGGGAAACCGGAGCUAAUACCGGAUAAUAUUUCGAACCGCAUGGUUCGAUAGUGAAAGAUGGUUUUGCUAUCACUUAUAGAUGGACCCGCGCCGUAUUAGCUAGUUGGUAAGGUAACGGCUUACCAAGGCGACGAUACGUAGCCGACCUGAGAGGGUGAUCGGCCACACUGGAACUGAGACACGGUCCAGACUCCUACGGGAGGCAGCAGUAGGGAAUCUUCCGCAAUGGGCGAAAGCCUGACGGAGCAACGCCGCGUGAGUGAUGAAGGUCUUCGGAUCGUAAAACUCUGUUAUUAGGGAAGAACAUACGUGUAAGUAACUAUGCACGUCUUGACGGUACCUAAUCAGAAAGCCACGGCUAACUACGUGCCAGCAGCCGCGGUAAUACGUAGGUGGCAAGCGUUAUCCGGAAUUAUUGGGCGUAAAGCGCGCGUAGGCGGUUUUUUAAGUCUGAUGUGAAAGCCCACGGCUCAACCGUGGAGGGUCAUUGGAAACUGUAAAACUUGAGUGCAGAAGAGGAAAGUGGAAUUCCAUGUGUAGCGGUGAAAUGCGCAGAGAUAUGGAGGAACACCAGUGGCGAAGGCGACUUUCUGGUCUGUAACUGACGCUGAUGUGCGAAAGCGUGGGGAUCAAACAGGAUUAGAUACCCUGGUAGUCCACGCCGUAAACGAUGAGUGCUAAGUGUUAGGGGGUUUCCGCCCCUUAGUGCUGCAGCUAACGCAUUAAGCACUCCGCCUGGGGAGUACGACCGCAAGGUUGAAACUCAAAGGAAUUGACGGGGACCCGCACAAGCGGUGGAGCAUGUGGUUUAAUUCGAAGCAACGCGAAGAACCUUACCAAAUCUUGACAUCCUUUGACAACUCUAGAGAUAGAGCCUUCCCCUUCGGGGGACAAAGUGACAGGUGGUGCAUGGUUGUCGUCAGCUCGUGUCGUGAGAUGUUGGGUUAAGUCCCGCAACGAGCGCAACCCUUAAGCUUAGUUGCCAUCAUUAAGUUGGGCACUCUAAGUUGACUGCCGGUGACAAACCGGAGGAAGGUGGGGAUGACGUCAAAUCAUCAUGCCCCUUAUGAUUUGGGCUACACACGUGCUACAAUGGACAAUACAAAGGGCAGCGAAACCGCGAGGUCAAGCAAAUCCCAUAAAGUUGUUCUCAGUUCGGAUUGUAGUCUGCAACUCGACUACAUGAAGCUGGAAUCGCUAGUAAUCGUAGAUCAGCAUGCUACGGUGAAUACGUUCCCGGGUCUUGUACACACCGCCCGUCACACCACGAGAGUUUGUAACACCCGAAGCCGGUGGAGUAACCAUUUGGAGCUAGCCGUCGAAGGUGGGACAAAUGAUUGGGGUGAAGUCGUAACAAGGUAGCCGUAUCGGAAGGUGCGGCUGGAUCACCUCCUUU
rnacentral:rRNA from 1 species